rnacentral:rRNA from 1 species
GAUGAACGCUAGCGGCAGGCCUAAUACAUGCAAGUCGGACGGGAUUGAGGAGCUUGCUUCUCAUGAGAGUGGCGCACGGGUGCGUAACACGUAUGUAACCUACCUUAAUCAGGGGGAUAGCCUCUCGAAAGAGAGAUUAACACCGCAUAACAUGAUGAGAUAGCAUUAUUUUAUCAUCAAAUAUUUAUAGGAUUAAGAUGGGCAUGCGGGACAUUAGCUAGUUGGCGGGGUAACGGCCCACCAAGGCGACGAUGUCUAGGGGAUCUGAGAGGAUGGCCCCCCACGCUGGUACUGAGACACGGACCAGACUCCUACGGGAGGCAGCAGUAAGGAAUAUUGGUCAAUGGGCGCAAGCCUGAACCAGCCAUGCCGCGUGCAGGAAGACGGCCCUACGGGUUGUAACCUGCUUUUGUACGGGAAUAAACCUUGAUACGUGUAUCAAGCUGAAUGUACUGUAAGAAUAAGGAUCGGCUAACUCCGUGCCAGCCGCCGCAGUAA